GGUUAAGUUACAAAGUGUGUACGGUGGAUGCCUUGGCGUCCAGGGCCGAUGAAGGACGUGGCAUAGCUGCGAAAAGCUUCGGGGAGCCGCUAAGUAGGCUGUGAGCCGGAGAUGUCCGAGAUCGGGAAACCGAACGGGAAUCAUGUCCCGUUAGCGCGAGAGCGUAGGGAACGCAGGGAACUGAAACAUCUAAGUACCUGCAGGAAAGGAAAGAAACCUCGACUCCCUGAGUAGCGGCGAGCGAAAGGGGAAUAGCCUAAACCGGUGUAGUGCCAAGGGUGCGGCCGUUGCUGCACCGGUGUCGUGGGACCUGUAGAGCCAGCCGCAAGCGGCUCAGGGAGUUACAAAGUAUCUGUCUAGAGGAACGGCAUGGGAAGGCCGGCCGCAGAAGGUGAAAGCCCUGUAUUCGAAAGACAGAUACCUCCCGCAGUCAUCCCGAGUAGCGCCAGACACGUGAAACCUGGUGUGAAUCUGGGGGGACCACCCCCCAAGGCUAAGUACUUCUGGACGACCGAUAGCGUAAUAGUAGCGCGAGCGAAAGGUGAAAAGUACCCCGGUGAGGGGAGUGAAAUAGUACCUGAAACCAUACACAUACAAGCUGUCGGAGGCCUAUGGCCCCUCGGGGCAAUGGCUGACGGCGUGCCUUUUGCAUAAUGAUCCGGCGAGUUACUCUGUCUGGCAAGGUUAAGGGUCUCAGGCCCGAAGCCGAAGGGAAACCGAGUGUGAAUAGCGCGAAUAGAGUCAGGCGGAGUAGACCCGAAAGCGAGUGAUCUAUCCAUGGGCAGGCUGAAGCGGAUGUAACAGUCCGUGGAGGGCCGAACGGGUAUAGGUUGAAAACUGUUCCGAUGACCUGUGGAUAGGAGUGAAAGGCUAAUCAAACUCGCAGAUAGCUGGUUCUCCCCGAAAUAGCUUUCGGGCUAGCCUCUGGUAAUAGUCGACGGGGGUAGAGCUACUGAUUGGGAUAGGGGCCCGAUAGGGUACCCUACCCAACCAAACUCCGAAUACCGUUGACCGUAUCCAGGGAGUCAGACUAUGGGCGAUAAGGUCCGUGGUCGAGAGGGAAACAACCCAGACCGCCAGCUAAGGUCCCAAAUGUGUGCUAAGUGCAGAGAAGGAAGUGAGUCCUCUAGGACAGCCAGGAUGUUGGCUUAGAAGCAGCCAUCA
rnacentral:rRNA from 1 species